rnacentral:rRNA from 1 species
AUUGAACGCUGGCGGCAGGCCUAACACAUGCAAGUCGAACGAGUGGCGGACGGGUGAGUAAUGUCUGGGAAACUGCCCGAUGGAGGGGGAUAACUACUGGAAACGGUAGCUACUACCGCAUACCAUCGGAUGGUCCCAGAUGGGAUUAGCGUGUUGGUGGGGUAAAGGCUCACCUAGGCGACGAUCCCUAGCUGGUCUGAGAGGAUGACCAGUCACACUGGAACUGAGACACGGUCCAGACUCCUACGGGAGGCAGCAGUGGGGAAUAUUGCACAAUGGGCGCAAGCCUGAUGCAGCCAUGCCGCGUGUAUUAAGAAGGCCUUCGGGUUGUAAAGUACUUUCAGCGAGGAGGCGUUACUCGCAGAAGAAGCACCGGCUAACUCCGUGCCAGCAGCCGCGGUAAUUC